UUUUUGCCUCUUUCUCAAAUCGUCCCCGAGUUUGCUUCGAUUUAAAUUACUGAAUUUGUCAUCCUCGCUUUAUCUGUGGCUUCGUCUCGCCUGGUGAAGUGCGAAGUUGCGUUUGGAUGCAUCUGAGGAUCACUGGAGAGUUCCGCGAGAUUUCGAAGAGAUCCAGCCGCGCUGUCCAUGAGAUUGAAUUCGGUGUACAAGCGGAUGUCUUCCAGGGAGCGUGCAAGCACCCCUGAUAUGGGCGAGGAUGAUAUCUCAGAGAAAUUGUUGGAUCCGGCAGAUCAGGACGGUGGCAAUCCCUCUUGGAAGCAUUCUUUGCCGCACGUCUGCGUCGCAACCAUGUCAUCCUUCUUGUUUGGGUACCAUCUAGGGGUUGUGAAUGAGCCGCUCGAGAGUAUUUCGACGGAUCUUGGGUUCUCAGGGAAUACGCUAGCGGAAGGACUCGUUGUGAGCAUGUGUUUGGGCGGCGCGCUGAUUGGAUGCUUGUUUAGCGGAUGGAUUUCUGACGGAAUUGGACGCCGCAAGGCCUUCCAGUUGAGUGCCCUUCCAAUGAUUAUCGGGGCUUCUUUGAGUGCAUCAGCAACUAGACUAGCGGGAAUGCUUCUUGGAAGAUUUCUUGUUGGAACAGGGAUGGGUCUAGGACCCCCAGUAGCCUCCCUCUACAUCACUGAGGUUUCUCCUUCAUCUGUGAGAGGUACUUAUGGGAGUUUUAUUCAGAUUGCAACAUGCCUGGGAUUGGUAGCAUCACUCUUUAUUGGAAUUCCAGUCAAGGAAUAUGUAGGAUGGUGGCGAAUGUGUUUCGGUGUAUCUAUUAUUCCAGCUGCUUUACUUGCUCUCUGUAUGCAAUUCUGUGCUGAAAGCCCUCAUUGGCUCUAUAAGCGUGGUAAAUUUGGUGAAUCUGAAGCUGAAUUUGAAAGACUUCUGGGAGGACAGCAUGUCAAAUCAGCAAUGGCAGAAUUGUCGCGGUUAGACAGAGGGGAUGAGGGGGAGACUGUAAAAUAUUCUGAGUUAUUCCAUGGACGACAUUUUAGAGUUGUUUUUAUUGGAACAAUGCUAUUUGCUUUACAACAGUUGUCGGGCAUCAAUGCUGUAUUCUAUUUCUCUUCUGCUGUGUUUAAAAGUGCUGGGGUGGCUUCAGAUAAUGCCAACAUAUGUGUGGGAUUUGCAAACUUAUCAGGGUCAAUCGUAGCUAUGCUUCUUAUGGACAAACUAGGAAGGAGGGUUCUUCUUCUAGGAAGUUUCCUGGGAAUGGCAGCAGCAAUGGUUCUUCAGGCUGUUGCAACAAAUUUUCAUCAGGAAGGUUCCUGGCAUGUCUACCUUUCUGUUUGUGGAAUGCUAUUAUUUGUUCUGACAUUUGCGCUGGGAGCUGGGCCAGUUCCUGGUCUCCUUUUACCUGAAAUUUUUCCCAGCAGGAUUCGUGCAAAAGCUAUGGCUCUGUGCAUGUCUGUUCACUGGGUUGUAAACUUCUUUGUUGGUCUGUUCUUUUUGAGGUUGCUAGAGCAGUUAGGAGCCAAAAUUUUGUACUCGAUAUUUGCAUCAUUUUGUUUGAUGGCAGCACUCUUUGUGGCAAAGAAUGUAGUUGAAACCAAAGGCAAGAGUCUCCAGGAAAUUGAAAUAUCACUCCUCUCACCUGUGUAAAGGUUUUAACAUUGAUGGAUACAUGGAAGGCUCCAUCAUUAAGAACGUCCGUCGUACUCGCAGCUGUUUGGCUUCAUAGUGCCCGUUAUUGUGGACUGCUGCUCAGUUUUCCGACAAGGGACAAUGGCUUGUAACACAGGCUGCUUCCGUUUGAGCCAUAGUGGAGCACCUUUCUUAUCUCUGUUAUCGUUGUUCACAUUUCAAUUGAACCAAGAAGAAGCCUUUUUCUAAGAUAAUACAUAUGGAAGUAAGUUGUUUUGAUGAAGACAAAUUUGUAACCUAAGAAUUUUUUUUUCUCAGUUUGGAAAAGGUAGCACCUAGUUCUAUGCAUUCUCCAAGUGGAGGACCAGGCUUGGGGUUAGUGGUAGCACCUAGUUGAUCUAAUUGGCUUUGUUCUUGUAUGCACUGGUUUAGCACAAUACCAAAAUGUGGGAACAUAUCGACAUACCAAGUUGAGUUCAGACAUUGGAUCACUAUUAGCAA